CAGGGAGACCGGGUGACCGCUGCCCCGCCGGACCCGUAAUGGGCCCCGGGGGAGAGGAAAGUCCGGGCUCCACCGGGUAAGGUGCUGGGUAACUCCCAGGACCCUCGACGAGGAGCGCCAGCGUCGCGGGUACGGAAAGUAGCGCAGAAACCACACCGCCAGCGGCCUCGGACAUCCGAGGUGCGGGUAAGGGUGAAAACGGGCGGUAAGAGCGUCCCGGCCGUUCGUGGCGACACGACGGCGGCUAAACCCCACCUGGAGCAAGGCCGAAUAGGGGGACUAAAGGCGCCCGGCCUGUCCCCGGGUAGGCUGCUCGAGUCCGGCGGCAACGCCGGACCUAGAUAGAUGGUCACCGUCCCGACGGGCGAGGGAAGGCCUCUGGCGACCUUCACACACGCCCCAGGGAUACAGGACCCGGCUUACAGGUCUGUCUGGCCC
rnacentral:RNase_P_RNA from 1 species